AGCGAACGCUGGCGGCAGGCUUAACACAUGCAAGUCGAGCGGGCCCUUCGGGGUCAGCGGCGGACGGGUGAGUAACGCGUGGGAACGUGCCUUCUGGUUCGGAAUAACCCUGGGAAACUAGGGCUAAUACCGGAUACGCCCUUAUGGGGAAAGGUUUACUGCCGGAAGAUCGGCCCGCGUCUGAUUAGCUAGUUGGUGGGGUAACGGCCUACCAAGGCGACGAUCAGUAGCUGGUCUGAGAGGAUGAUCAGCCACACUGGGACUGAGACACGGCCCAGACUCCUACGGGAGGCAGCAGUGGGGAAUAUUGGACAAUGGGCGCAAGCCUGAUCCAGCCAUGCCGCGUGAGUGAUGAAGGCCUUAGGGUUGUAAAGCUCUUUUAUCCGGGACGAUAAUGACGGUACCGGAGGAAUAAGCCCCGGCUAACUUCGUGCCAGCAGCCGCGGUAA
rnacentral:rRNA from 1 species